rnacentral:sRNA from 1 species
AGUUACAUGUACUUUGCUAGUGUUGAAACAUACUAGCUUAACCCGACAUUUUGAGAUUUUUGACAGCCACAUUGUCAAAAUGAUGCCGGUUUCAAUUUGCAGUUUUCUUUUAUCUUCGUAUGUCUUGAGCAAUUACGUAGUAACUAUGUCUGUUGUGAGCACUGCUACCCAGACUACUGUGUCCGUCGAAAACACUUCCACUCCAGCUCUGGACAGCAAUGAACAAAGGAUUGCAGAUAUUAUAGUGAUGAUAAUACAUAUGAUUGGUAGUCCACUGGAAACGGAGGCAGCUAUACGAAUGGAUGUCGAGAAAAAAAUCAGAGAUGGAAAUAUAACAGAGCUAUCGCAAGUAUUUACCAAAGCUGAGUUUAACGCCUUCUGUGCAAUUUGGCCAAAUGGAUGUUCAGGCACGCAGUAUAACAAUUGGAAAUGAAAGAGAAAAAUAAAAAGUGUUUGAUAUCAUUCAAAUUGUGUGAAAAAUAAUCAAUAAUAAUUGUAAUUCAAUUAUGAAAAAUGAGCUAUGUUCUUAACACAAUGUUAAUUUUGACAUAGCAUUUGGCUCUCGGCGCAACUACUAUGAGCUUGAUGAAUUCUGUAAUCACAGAUGAUAUUUGCUUCAUUCCAUAAUGAAUUGAUUAGCAUUUGUUAAAUGUUAUACGUUGGGUCAUAUUCAUUUGUAUUGUGAGAUUUAAAUCGUUAUGAAAUUUUCUAAUAAAAUAUGUCACUUC